GACGAACGCUGGCGGCGUGCUUAGCACAUGCAAGUCGAACGGAAAGGCCCUGCUUUUGUGGGGUGCUCGAGUGGCGAACGGGUGAGUAACACGUGAGUAACCUGCCCUUGACUUUGGGAUAACUUCAGGAAACUGGGGCUAAUACCGGAUAGGAGCUCCUGCUGCAUGGUGGGGGUUGGAAAGUUUCGGCGGUUGGGGAUGGACUCGCGGCUUAUCAGCUUGUUGGUGGGGUAGUGGCUUACCAAGGCUUUGACAGGUAGCCGGCCUGAGAGGGUGACCGGCCACAUUGGGACUGAGAUACGGCCCAGACUCCUACGGGAGGCAGCAGUGGGGAAUAUUGCACAAUGGGCGGAAGCCUGAUGCAGCAACGCCGCGUGCGGGAUGACGGCCUUCGGGUUGUAAACCGCUUUCGCCUGUGACGAAGCGUGAGUGACGGUAAUGGGUAAAGAAGCACCGGCUAACUACGUG
rnacentral:rRNA from 1 species